rnacentral:lncRNA from 1 species
GUGGUCAACCAUUUUAUCUUUGUGUGUUGUUUGGUGGUUAGCCAACGCACUACAUUCUUUCUUAGGUGGUUAGCCUUAGAUCGUGAGUAUAUCAAGAGCCAUUCCACAUCUCUUGACGAUCCUUUCAAUCUAUCUCAGUUCCAGAAGAACCAUUUGCCUUUUCAGAUCAUAUCCAACACCCAGCUAAAUUGAUCCUCCAAUUUAGGGCGUAUAAAAAUGUGAUUGUGCGAUUUUGGCGAGAAAAUGUGAUUUUGCGAUUUUGGCGGAAAAACGUGAUUUUGCGAUUUUGGCGGAAAAACAUGAGUUUUACGGUUUUGGCGGAAAAACAUGAUUGUACGAUUUUGGUGGGAAAACAUAAUUUUACGGUAUUUGUAGAAAACGCGAUUUUGUGAUUUUGUGAUUCUUGCGGAAAAAUGUGAUUUUGC